rnacentral:rRNA from 1 species
AACGAACGCUGGCGGCGUGCCUAACACAUGCAAGUCGAGCGCGAAAGGCCCUUCGGGGGCGAGUAGAGCGGCGGACGGGUGAGUAAUACAUGGAUAAUCUCCCCUCGAGCCCGGGAUAACCCUGCGAAAGUGGGGCUAAUACCGGAUAAGACCACGUCACCCAGGUGAUGCGGGAAAAGGUGGCUUUAUUUUCGAAUGAGGCUAUCACUUAAGGAUGAGUCCAUGGCCUAUCAGCUUGUUGGUGAGGUAAAAGCUCACCAAGGCUAUGACGGGUAGCUGGUCUAAGAGGACGACCAGCCACACUGGGACUGAGACACGGCCCAGACUCCUACGGGAGGCAG